GUCGAACGAGGUGCUUGCACCUAGUGGCGAACGGGUGAGUAACACGUGAGCAACCUGCCCUUGGCUCUGGGAUAGCCUCCGGAAACGGGGAUUAAUACCGGACAUGACCUUCUCCUGCAUGGGGGAGGGUGGAAAGUUUUUCGGCCAGGGAGGGGCUCGCGGCCUAUCAGCUUGUUGGAGGGGUAACGGCCCACCAAGGCGACGACGGGUAGCCGGCCUGAGAGGGCGACCGGCCACACUGGGACUGAGACACGGCCCAGACUCCUACGGGAGGCAGCAGUGGGGAAUAUUGCACAAUGGGGGAAACCCUGAUGCAGCGACGCCGCGUGCGGGAUGAAGGCCUUCGGGUUGUAAACCGCUUUCAGCAGGGACGAAGCGAGAGUGACGGUACCUGCAGAAGAAGCGCCGGCUAACUACGUGCCAGCAGCCGCGGUAAUACGUAGGGCGCAAGCGUUGUCCGGAAUUAUUGGGCGUAAAGAGCUCGUAGGCGGCUUGUUACGUCUGCUGUGAAAUCCCGGGGCUUAACCCCGGGCCUGCAGUGGAUACGGGCAGGCUAGAGGCAGGCAGGGGAGAACGGAAUUCCCGGUGUAGCGGUGAAAUGCGCAGAUAUCGGGAGGAACACCGGUGGCGAAGGCGGUUCUCUGGGCCUGUACUGACGCUGAGGAGCGAAAGCGUGGGGAGCGAACAGGAUUAGAUACCCUGGUAGUCCACGCCGUA
rnacentral:rRNA from 1 species